CCCUUAGAUGUUCUGGGCCGCACGCGUGCUACACUGAGUGGAUCAGCGGGUCAGGUUGCGCGAAAGCGUUUCCUAAUCUUGAAAUCCGCUCGUGAUGGGGAUUGACGGUUGCAAUUUUCUGUCAUGAACGAGGAAUACCUUGUAAGCGCGAGUCAUCAUCCCGCGCUGAAUACGUCCCUGCCCUUUGUACACACCGCCCGUCGCUCCUACCGAUUGAGUGGUCCGGUGAGGCUUUGGGAUCUGAGCGGAAAGAGCGUUUCGCUCGUUCUGCCCGGAAAACUCAGUCGAACCUUAUCAUUUAGAGGAAGGAGAAGUCGUAACA
rnacentral:rRNA from 1 species